ensembl:lncRNA PLCH1-AS1 PLCH1 antisense RNA 1
CAGCAUUUCUCCACCAAAGCAUGGCUCCAUGACUCGGUAGAUGAAAUGAAAUGUUGCCAGAAGCGUCGUGUGCUAUCUCGUGUUUGACUCUCUACCUGCUCUUCCCCUGCAGUAGUAAUCGUGGGAGCAUGUAUAUUUACGGAGGUGUCAUAAGAUCAAACAGCCUGGAAGGAAGAGCCAAUGCCUGAAAAACAGCUGCUGUGACGAGCUGCCUGAACCCUCAGCCAACUUUGUUACUUUGUGAAAUGGAACUACCAUCCGCCAAGAUAUUCAAGAGAGAAAAAAAUACAUUUUCUGCAUAAAUGGUGAAAUCUUUUGUUUCCUUCCCACUCCUUAGUAGACCCUUUCAACCCCUUUCCCACCUUUUUCACCUGGAAAAUUUCUACUCAUCCUUCACAAAUCAAUUUGAGCAUCAUCGCUGCCUCCAGGCAAGGUGGCCACAUAAUUUGGGUGGCCCAGUGCAAAAUAAAAAACGAAAAUCUCACAGGUGGAAUUCAACAUAUCCCUUCCACAGGAGGUCAUCCCAAUCCAAAAUAUUUAGACUUUGCACAGGGAAACACUUGGCAUCUGAUUUGGGAACAGGCGAGAAGUCCCUGCUGAUCCAAACACGGCUGUUGCUCUGCCAGCCAAGGCAGAAACAACUGCUGCCUUGCGUUGCCCCGGACACUGUGGCGCACAAACCUGAGCUUGACCCUCCAUGCUUCUACACUGUGGCCCCUGCUGGGGAAAAAGAGUGAUGGCCAAACCUGACCUUGAACCUCCAUGCUUCUAUGCUGUGGCCUCUGCUGGGAAAAAGGAGGAUGAUGGCCUCCUCCUGCCCUAGAGUUCUAGCAGGCUGUAAAUGGGCCAGGGAGGAGGGAGGCAGCCAAAAGUGAAUAGCACAAGAUGAGCAGAGGCUUCAAGUGCCCAUCAUGUGCUCCAUUGUCCCAUUGGACUUCAUUUACAAAACACAAAUUCAAAGAUGAAACUAAAAAUUUCAAAAGGGGGCCACAGAGCAUUAAGCCCCAAGCACUAACAAUUCUGAGGGUAAGGCCCUAAGCUACCUGAUUGCAUGCCUCUGUAGUUGGUCCUGCCUCCAGAAAAUUUUCCCUGACCAGGCCCCUCAAACCAAGCUAGCUGCCCCUUUCUGUUCUUCCUAUUUAACCCAUGCUUGCCUUUGUCGCUGCACUUAGUACAUUAUAUUAAUAUUAUCUAUUUAUGUGUAUGUUUCACAAAAUAUUUUAUAACUUCAUAAGGUCAAGGAAUUCGGUUAAAUCUUUUUUCUCCAAUUUCUAAAUCUUAAUACUAUAUUAAAAUUGCUUCUUCAUA